GUGGUUUGUCUCUCCUGGUGUGGUGUCUGGAGGAAUAAGGGUUUGUCUCUCCUGUUGUGGUGUCUAGAGGAGUAGGGGUUCUCUCUCCUGGUGUGGUGUCUAGAGGAGUUGGGGUUUGUCUCUCCUGGUGUCUGGAGGAGUAGGGGGUUUGUUCUCCUGGUGUGGUGUCUGGAGGAGUAGAGGAUUUGUCUCUCCUGGUGUGUUGUCUGGAGGUGUAGGGUUUGUCUCUCCUGGUGUGGUGUCUGGAGGAUAGGUGGUUUGUCUCUUAUGGUGUGGUGUCUGGAGGAAUAAGGGUUUGUCUCUCCUGGUGUGGUGUCUGGAGGAGUUGGGGUUUUGUCUCUCCUGGUGUGGUGUCUGGAGGUGUAGGGUUUUGUCUCUCCCGGUGUGGUGUCUGGAGGAGUAGGUGGUUUGUCUCUCAUUGUUACGUUCCCCAGAUUAUGUGUUGUAGAUUGUGUAUUUGCAUGUGUUUAUUUCAGGAAAUGGCUUCCUGAAAUUCCUCAAGCAGCUGAUUGGUCGACUCCAGGGCUAAUUGGAGAGCUGACCCCGCCCCCUCGUCAAGACACAGCUGUCUCCAAUUACCCAUUCCUUCAGAAGCUAUAUAAAAGCCAGUGUUCUGUUCAGGAGUUUUUCUUUUUGCUAGAGAGAUUUGCUGGGAGGUCAUUGUAGAGAUUGUGAUAGAGGUUGAUUUUGCUGGGAGUACAUUGCUGAGUUUGUUGCUCAGAAAGAGCUUAUUUGACAUCCUUUUGUUUCUUAGUUUGUUUAAAAUUGUUUAAUAUUCUGUUUCAUUUGUUCCCAGGGGGAAAGGGAAGGCACCUAGGGAGUGCUUAGGCAAGAGGCCCGCGGGCAUACAUAUACCCGUAGCAUAUUCGCUGUCUAGACACACUAGGUAAGACCUGGGCGGACCACCCCUUGUAUUUUGGUUAGGGCACCAGGUGGUGCUAAAUUAGGUAAGUAGUGG
ensembl:lncRNA